UACGAAGGGAGCUAGCGUUGUUCGGAAUUACUGGGCGUAAAGGGCGCGUAGGCGGUUUAGCAAGUUGGAUGUGAAAGCCCAGGGCUCAACCCUGGAAUUGCAUUCAAGACUGCUUUACUUGAAUUCGGUAGAGGUUGGUGGAAUUCCCAGUGUAGAGGUGAAAUUCGUAGAGAUUGGGAAGAACACCCGUGGCGAAGGCGGCCAACUGGACCGACAUUGACGCUGCGGCGCGAAAGCGUGGGGAUCAAACAGG
rnacentral:rRNA from 1 species